AGAGUUUGAUCCUGGCUCAGGACGAACGCUGGCGGCGUGCCUAACACAUGCAAGUCGAACGGGGUAAUCCUUCGGGGUUACUUAGUGGCGAACGGGUGAGUAACGCGUGAGAAACCUGCCUUUCAGUGGGGGACAACAGUUGGAAACGACUGCUAAUACCGCAUAAUGUAUUUUAGGGGCAUCCCUUUGAUACCAAAGAUUUAUUGCUGAAAGAUGGUCUCGCGUCUGAUUAGCUAGAUGGCGGGGUAACGGCCCACCAUGGCGACGAUCAGUCGCCGGUCUGAGAGGAUGAACGGCCACAUUGGGACUGAGAUACGGCCCAGACUCCUACGGGAGGCAGCAGUGGGGAAUAUUGGGCAAUGGGCGAAAGCCUGACCCAGCAACGCCGCGUGAAGGAAGAAGGCCUUCGGGUUGUAAACUUCUUUUACCAGGGACGAAGAACGUGACGGUACCUGGAGAAAAAGCAACGGCUAACUACGUGCCAGCAGCCGCGGUAAUACGUAGGUUGCAAGCGUUGUCCGGAUUUACUGGGUGUAAAGGGCGUGUAGGCGGAGAUGCAAGUUGGGAGUGAAAUCCCGGGGCUCAACCCCGGAACUGCUUUCAAAACUGCAUCCCUUGAGUAUCGGAGAGGCAAGCGGAAUUCCUAGUGUAGCGGUGAAAUGCGUAGAUAUUAGGAGGAACACCAGUGGCGAAGGCGGCUUUCUGGACUGUAACUGACACUGAGGCACGAAAGCGUGGGGAGCAAACAGGAUUAGAUACCCUGGUAGUCCACGCCGUAAACGAUGAGCACUAGGUGUCGGGGUAGCAAUACUUCGGUGCCGCAGUUAACGCAUUAAGUGCUCCGCCUGGGGAGUACGCACGCAAGUGUGAAACUCAAAGGAAUUGACGGGGACCCGCACAAGCAGCGGAGCAUGUGGUUUAAUUCGAAGCAACGCGAAGAACCUUACCAGGACUUGACAUCCCUCUGACCGGCCCCUAACCGGGCCUUUCCUUCGGGACAGAGGUGACUGGUGGUGCAUGGUUGUCGUCAGCUCGUGUCGUGAGAUGUUGGGUUAAGUCCCGCAACGAGCGCAACCCUUGCCAUUAGUUGCCAUCAUUCAGUUGGGCACUCUAGUGGGACUGCCGGGGACAACUCGGAGGAAGGUGGGGAUGACGUCAAAUCAUCAUGCCCCUUAUGUUCUGGGCUACACACGUGCUACAAUGGCCGGUACAGAAAGCAGCAAUGCCGCGAGGCGGAGCGAAUCUCAAAAACCGGUCCCAGUUCGGACUGCAGGCUGCAACUCGCCUGCACGAAGCCGGAGUUGCUAGUAAUCGCGGAUCAGAAUGCCGCGGUGAAUGCGUUCCCGGGUCUUGCACUCACCGCCCGUCA
rnacentral:rRNA from 1 species